rnacentral:rRNA from 1 species
GUGCCAGCAGCCGCGGUAAUACGGAGGAUCCAAGCGUUAUCCGGAAUCAUUGGGUUUAAAGGGUCCGUAGGCGGGACAAUCAGUCAGCGGUGAAAGUCUGUGGCUCAACCAUAGAAUUGCCAUUGAUACUGUUGUUCUUGAAUACUUAUGAAGUGGUUGGAAUAUGUAGUGUAGCGGUGAAAUGCAUAGAUAUUACAUAGAACACCGAUUGCGAAGGCAGAUCACUAAUAAUUUAUUGACGCUGAUGGACGAAAGCGUAGGUAGCGAACAGGAUUAGAUACCCUGGUAGUCUACGCCGUAAACGAUGGUUACUAGCUGUUCGGGAGCAAUCCUGAGUGGCUAAGCGAAAGUGAUAAGUAACCCACCUGGGGAGUACGUUCGCAAGAAUGAAACUCAAAGGAAUUGACGG